rnacentral:SRP_RNA from 1 species
GCCGGGCGCGGUGGCAUGUGCCUGUAGUCCCAGCUACUCGGGAGGCUGAGGUGGGAGGAUCGCUUGAGCCCAGGAGUUCUGGGCCAUAGUGCGCUAUGCUGAUCAGGUGUCCGCACUAAGUUCGGCAUCAAUAUGGUGACCUCCCGGGAGCGGGGGAACAACAGGUUGCCUAAGGAGGGGUGAACUGGCCCAGGUCGGAAACGGAGCAGGUCAAAACUCCCAUGCUGAUCAGUAGUGGGAUUGCGCCUGUGAAUAGCCAUUGCCCUCCAGCCUGGGCAAUAUAGUGAGACCCCCAUCUCU